UACGGAGGGUGCAAGCGUUAUCCGGAUUCACUGGGUUUAAAGGGUGCGUAGGUGGCUUUGUAAGUCAGUGGUGAAAUGCCGCAGCUCAACUGCGGAACUGCCAUUGAUACUGCUUAGCUUGAAUCACGUCGAGGUGGAUGGAAUAUUACAUGUAGCGGUGAAAUGCUUAGAAUAUGUAAUAGAACACCGAUUGCGAAGGCAGUUCACUAGGCGUGU
rnacentral:rRNA from 1 species